rnacentral:rRNA from 1 species
GUAUAGAGGGUGAAUUCUGCCCAAUGGUUGUAUAGUGAAACUGAGGACUAACGUCUAAGGCGAAACCCAACUGAAUGGCCGCGGUAACUCUGACCGUGAUAAUGUAGCACAAUAAAUAGCCAAUUAAUUGUUGGCGGGUAUGAAUGGAACCACGAGGGUCUUACUGUCUCAAGAGGAAAGCCGAUGAAAUUAUAGUUGUAGUGAAGAUACUACAUAAACAUUGUAAGACGAAAAGACCCUAUCGAGCUUUACUGGAUACCGAUAGCGUUAACUUAGAAUGAUCGAUACUAAGUAUCCUAAUUCUAAGUUAAUAAAUUUUGUUGGUAGGACAGUUUAGUUGGGGCGACUACCUUUGAAUAAGAAACGAAGGCGAGCUUAUGGUAUACGAAGUUAAUCUCAUUAGCCUCACAGUGAGGGGGACACCCCUAGCUGGCACAAGGACUUACGAAGUAAGUGAGUUCCUAUGUGGGCGAUAAUGACCCGAUAUGAUUAUCCAAAAUAAAUAUCGAAAGCGGAUAAAAGCUACCGUAGGGAUAACAGCGUAAUAUUGUCGGAGAGUUCUUAUCGAGGACAGUGUUUGCGACCUCGAUGUUGAAUUGCGGUGCCCUGGUGCUGUAGCAGGUACCUUAGGUUGGUC